GGAUGUGAGGGCGAUCUGGCUGCGACAUCUGUCAUCUCAUUGAUCGCCAGGGUUGAUUUGGCUGAUCUGGCUGGCUAGGCAGGUGUCCCCUUCCUCACCACUCCUUGUGCGUCCCUCCCGAAGCUGCACACUUGGUUGAAGAGAACAACCAUCCUUGCUAGAGGAGGACUGGUCUUUGGUCAAGGAUAUACGGGUAGCUGCACUCCCCUGCUAGAACGUCCAAACAAGCUCUCAAGGUAGUGAGAGUAUAUGUAGUAUAAAAACAUCAUACUUUUUUUUUUUUUUAAGAUUUAAAGAGAAAGAGAAA
ensembl:misc_RNA 7SK 7SK RNA